AUGCAACGAUUGGGUUUGGCAUUUUUAGAAGAAUUUUUUAUGGAAGAAGAGCAAGUUUUUUCUUUGAUGUUCACCAAAACAUCUUUUUCUUUCUGUGGAUCACACACUGAGCGUAUUUGGUAUUUGGCGAAUUUGCUUUUUGCAUGUUGA
rnacentral:rRNA from 1 species